GAUGAACGCUGGCGGCGUGCCUAAUACAUGCAAGUCGAGCGAACAGACGAGGAGCUUGCUCCUCUGACGUUAGCGGCGGACGGGUGAGUAACACGUGGAUAACCUACCUAUAAGACUGGGAUAACUUCGGGAAACCGGAGCUAAUACCGGAUAAUAUAUUGAACCGCAUGGUUCAAUAGUGAAAGACGGUUUUGCUGUCACUUAUAGAUGGAUCCGCGCCGCAUUAGCUAGUUGGUAAGGUAACGGCUUACCAAGGCAACGAUGCGUAGCCGACCUGAGAGGGUGAUCGGCCACACUGGAACUGAGACACGGUCCAGACUCCUACGGGAGGCAGCAGUAGGGAAUCUUCCGCAAAGGGCGAAAGCCUGACGGAGCAACGCCGCGUGAGUGAUGAAGGUCUUCGGAUCGUAAAACUCUGUUAUUAGGGAAGAACAAAUGUGUAAGUAACUAUGCACGUAUUGACGGUACCUAAUCAGAAAGCCACGGCUAACUACGUG
rnacentral:rRNA from 1 species